rnacentral:rRNA from 1 species
GAACGGGGAUUAGCCUAAACCGGCUUCGGCCGGGGUAGUGGGACAGCGACAUCUGGGAUAAACUCAUAGACGAACCGAUCUGGAAAGUUCGACCGCAGGGGGUGAAAGUCCCGUAGUCGAAAUGGGUUUAAACUGGUAGCUGGAUCCCGAGUAGCCCGGGACACGAGAAAUCCUGGGUGAAUCAGCGAGGACCAUCUCGUAAGGCUAAAUACAUUUGGUGACUGAUAGCGUAGCAGUACCGUGAGGGAAAGGUGAAAAGGACCCCGGGAGGGGAGUGAAAUAGAACCUGAAACCGUAUGCCUACAAGCGGUCAGAGUGAAGCACCAAUUUUAUUCAUAGAUGGAGGUAUUAUGUAUUAUGUUUAUGUCUUGGAAGACAAGAACGACUUUAGUCGUUAUAUUGGUUAUACUUCAGACCUAAGAAGGAGACUUGAACAGCAUAAUCGACCUCAUCAGGGAUACACCAACGGUUCUGAGUGGACCUUGGUUUAUUACGAAGCAUUCCGGGAAGAGAAGUUGGCGAGACAGCGAGAACGUCGCUUAAAACAGGACGGUAGAGCUAAACGGCAACUUUUUGAUCGAAUCUUCAGUGGAUAAAAUUGGUGCUUCAUGAUGGCGUGCCUUUUGCAUAAUGAGCCAACGAGUUAAUGUCAUAAGCAAGGUUAAGUAUUACAGGUACGUAGCCGCAGCGAAAGCGAGUGUUAACAGCGCGUUUAGUUUAUGGUAUUAGACCCGAAACCAGGUGAUCUACCCAUGGUCAGGUUGAAGGUUGGGUAAAACCAACUGGAGGACCGCACCAACCGUCGUUGAAAAGGCGGUGGAUGAACUGUGGGUAGGGGUGAAAGGCCAAACAAACCUGGAGAUAGCUGGUUCUCUCCGAAACAUAUUUAGGUAUGGCCUCAGGACUGAGAUUAGCGGAGGUAGAGCACUGAAUGGGCUAGGGGGCUUACAAGCUUACUGAACCCAAUCAAACUCCGAAUGCCGUUAAUUGCUUCCUGGGAGACAGGGCGUGAGGGAUAAGCUUCACGUGCGAGAGGGGAACAACCCAGACUGUCAGCUAAGGCCCUCAAAUAGAUGCUUAGUGCGUAAGGAUGUUCAAUUGCCCAGACAGCCAGGAUCUUGGCUUAGAAGCAGCCAUGAUUUAAAGAGUGCGUAACAGCUCACUGGUCGAGUGGUAGAGCACCGAAGAUGAUCGGGACUAAGAAGCAUCUUGCCGAAGCUGCGGACUCGUAGAAUAAACUAUGAGUGGUAGGAGAGCAUUGUGAUUGCGUCGAAGGUGAGUUGUCAAGCUUGCUGGAGCGGUCACAAGAGACCAUGUUGGCAUGAGUAACGAUAAUGCGGGUGGGAAACCCGCACACCACAAGCCCGAGGAUUCCUGAGUAAAGUUAAUCUGCUCAGGGUUAGUCGGCCCCUAAGGUAUAGCCAGUUGGCGAAGCUGAUGGGAAUCAGGUUAAUAUUCCUGAACCUGUGUAUUGAGCGAUGGAGUGACGCGACGGUGCAGCGGGGAUGGCUGUUGGAAUAGCCAUUGAACGCGUGUAGGAGGUGAUCCAGGCAAAUCCGGGUCACGCAUACUCCGAGGCGUGGGACGAGGCGUAAGCCGCAAAGCCCGCCUACAGACGUUGCCUAGAAACAGCUUCUAAGCAUAUUGAUGCACAGACCGUACCGCAAACCGACUCAGGUGGGCGAGGAGAGUAUCCUAAGGUGUUCGAGCGAACUCUGGUUAAGGAACUAGGCAAAAUAACCCCGUAACUUCGGGAGAAGGGGUACCCCGUUAUUGUGAAGGAGCGCAUCCGGAGCGAGAGGGGGGCGCAGUGAAGAGGCCCAAGCGACUGUUUAUCAAAAACACAGGUCUAUGCGAAGGGGAAACCCACGGUAUAUAGACUGACACCUGCCCGGUGCCGGAAGGUUAAAUGGAGAGGUCAGCAGCAAUGUGAAGCUUCGAAAUGAAGCCCCGGUAAACGGCGGCCGUAACUAUAACGGUCCUAAGGUAGCGAAAUUCCUUGUCGGGUAAGUUCCGACCUGCACGAAUGGUGUAACGAUUUGGGCGCUGUCUCAACCAGGGGCUCGGUGAAAUUGAAGUUGCGGUGAAGAUGCCGCAUACCCGCGAACGGACGGAAAGACCCCGUGAACCUUUACUGUAGCUUGGCAUUGUAAAUUGGUGCAGUAUGUGUAGGAUAGGUGGGAGGCUAUGAAGCGUGCACGCCAGUGUGUGUGGAGCCGUCGUUGAAAUACCACCCUUAUUGUAUUGGUUUACUAACGACAGUAACGCUGUCGGACAUUGCCAGGUGGGCAGUUUGACUGGGGCGGUCGCCUCCGAAAGUGUAACGGAGGCUUACCAAGGUUCCCUCCGGCUGGUUGGUAAUCAGCCACAGAGCAUAAAGGUAUAAGGGAGCUUGACUGCGAGACUGACGGGUCGAGCAGGUGGGAAACCAGGUCUUAGUGAUCCGGCGGUCCUGAAUGGAAGGGCCGUUGCUCAAAGGAUAAAAGGUACUCCGGGGAUAACAGGCUGAUACCGCCCAAGCGUCCAUAGCGACGGCGGUGUUUGGCACCUCGAUGUCGGCUCAACUCAUCCUGGGGCUGAAGAAGGUCCCAAGGGUUCGGCUGUUCGCCGAUUAAAGAGUUACGCGAGCUGGGUUCAGAACGUCGUGAGACAGUUCGGUCCCUAUCCUUCGUGGGCGCAGGAAAUUUGAGGAGAUCUGCAUUUAGUACGAGAGGACCGGUGUGGACGAACCUCUGGUGUACCGGUUGUGAUGCCAAUUGCAUUGCCGGGUAGCCACGUUCGGAGAGGAUAACCGCUGAAAGCAUCUAAGCGGGAAGCCAACUCCAAGAUUAGAUUUCCCAACAGACAGGUUGGAGACUACAACCUUGAUAGGUCACAGGUGUAAGCGUCGUGAGGCGUUCAGCCGAGUGAUACUAAUAUGUCGAUUGGCUUUCAC